rnacentral:rRNA from 1 species
AUUGAACGCUGGCGGCAGGCCUAACACAUGCAAGUCGAGCGGAUGAAGGGAGCUUGCUCCUGGAUUCAGCGGCGGACGGGUGAGUAAUGCCUAGGAAUCUGCCUGGUAGUGGGGGAUAACGUCCGGAAACGGGCGCUAAUACCGCAUACGUCCUGAGGGAGAAAGUGGGGGAUCUUCGGACCUCACGCUAUCAGAUGAGCCUAGGUCGGAUUAGCUAGUUGGUGGGGUAAGGGCCUACCAAGGCGACGAUCCGUAACUGGUCUGAGAGGAUGAUCAGUCACACUGGAACUGAGACACGGUCCAGACUACUACGGGAGGCAGCAGUGGGGAAUAUUGGACAAUGGGCGAAAGCCUGAUCCAGCCAUGCCGCGUGUGUGAAGAAGGUCUUCGGAUUGUAAAGCACGUUAAGUUGGGAGGAAGGGCAGUAAGUUAAUACCUUGCUGUUUUGACGUUACCAACAGAAUAAGCACCGGCUAACUUCGUG